rnacentral:rRNA from 1 species
CUGGGCUAGACAACGGCGGACCGUCCUAGAAAUAGGAUUUUCCCUUCGGGGACUGCCGGUUCAGGUGCUGCAUGGCUGUCGUCAGCUCGUGCCGUGAGGUGUUGGGUUAAGUCCCGCAACGAGCGCAACCCUCGUCCUUAGUUGCCACCAUUCAGUUGGGCACUCUAGGGAGACUGCCGGCGUUAAGCCGGAGGAAGGUGGGGACGACGUCAAGUCAUCAUGGCCCUUAUGUCCAGGGCCACACACGUGCUACAAUGGACGGUACAAAGGGUCGCAAACCCGCGAGGGGGAGCCAAUCCCAAAAAGCCGUUCUCAGUUCGGAUUGGAGUCUGCAACUCGACUCCAUGAAGUUGGAAUCGCUAGUAAUCGCAGAUCAGCACGCUGCGGUGAAUACGUUCCC